rnacentral:lncRNA from 10 species
CACUGAGAUGACCCAUAGUACCCCAUUCCUUGCUGCAAUGUAAUUAUAUUUACUUACAAGUGUGCUCCUGGUGGUCUUUAACUGAAGGGCACUGACUGGGUCACUGGUGAAGUUCCCCGCAGGAACUGAGUCAGACCCCAUCUCAGGGCCCUGCACAAGAUAGGUGCCUGCUCUAAGGCGUGGACCCUCGCCACAGCCCUGGCCCGUCUUGACGGGCGAGGGUUACUGUACUUGUCCCAACCGUACAGAUGAGAAAGCUGAGACUCAGGGCGAGCAACCCGGGUCCCAGCGGAGCGCCCGGCACACGCCGACACUUCAGCACCAGUCGCGGUGGCCACCACUGUGCGCGGAGAUGGCUGCGACGCGUGCGCAGAUCUCGAUCCCAAACUCCCUCCUGCCAGAAUCUGGACCCGAAUCCACCCAUUGCCCGUUUUCUGCUGCCGCUGGAGAGAAUCUCUGAGGUCCCCAGGAGAGCCUGCCUGCACGGAAGAGAUGCCUCCUCAGUAUGGCCGCCCCCGGAGAGGAGCGAUUAAGUGCAGACCUCCAUGUUGCUCUUGAGCCUGAGCGGCUUCAGGGAGCCAUGUUUGUUACUGGCGGGCGCCGACCUCACUGAGCAUGUGCAGCCCUGGCCGGGCGGCCUCAAAGUUCUGACAUCACAGGGCGGUUCCUGAAGUGGACGUAGUUGUAAGAGCUAGUUAUUUUAGACAAUGCCUCUGGGAUCAGGGACUCUAAUCUGGAAAUAGGUAGUAGGAGAGGUCGGUGAUGCAGUCUCUGGAUCAGAGACCUGAGCUAUAUGGGGUUAGAGAGGGGCCCUGGGCAGGCGAGUCUCUGGGGAGUGUGGUGAGAAUCCUUGUGUAAGAUGCUGGGAGGAGGUGGGGUCAGGGCUGGGGUCCGUGGGCCGACGGGUUGGGGGAUGGCCAGCGUCAGGGAUCAGUAGUAGAGAUUCUAUGUGCCCUGAUCGCCAGUGGAGGUUUUAAAUACAGAGUAUUCAUGAGUUUAGCAAUGUUAUUCGCCUCUCAUUAUUUAAAUAAUUUGAAAUUUUCCCCAAUAACUAGUGUCUUAGAAGUCAUGAAAAUUUCAGAAAAUGACAGGUCUCCUGAGUUCGUGAUGGGAGUUGGGCAGCAGUCGCAUACGAGCACCUGGAGAGUCCUUGCCAGUUCUUUGGGGAUGGGGAGCUCUUAAGACUGCCCUGAGACCGCCCUUUGACCUCAUUAUGGUCCUUUCUAGAUCAAAUGCUGUUUUCCAUGACUGUCUCUGUUCUUCCCAUACGCGAAUGGCAGGCAUCCAGAUCUCCAAGAAUAGAGGAUUAGGAGAGACUCCACCACCUAUGUCCUCACAGUUAAUUAUCGAUUUGUGUCAGUUGCCCAUUUUCUCACUUCCUGUUUGUGUGUCAAGGAGUAUUAAUAAAUCUUUGCCUAUUUAAAGAUA